UCCGAAGGGGGCUAGCGUUGUUCGGAUUUACUGGGCGUAAAGCGCACGUAGGCGGGUCGUUAAGUCAGGGGUGAAAUCCCGGAGCUCAACUCCGGAACUGCCUUUGAUACUGGCGACCUUGAGGCCGGAAGAGGUUAGUGGAAUUCCCAGUGUAGAGGUGAAAUUCGUAGAUAUUGGGAAGAACACCAGUGGCGAAGGCGGCUAACUGGUCCGGAUCUGACGCUGAGGUGCGAAAGCGUGGGGAGCGAACAGG
rnacentral:rRNA from 1 species